CAUCACCGAACACCAAGCGGAAAGUUAGGCGCCGUUGGCGGUUCUCUCAACGUCGUGGUGGUCGGUACCACCUGACCCUCCGUUGCCAAAUCCGAACUUGCCGGGGCCCGCUCUGCAGAUUGGCUCCUGGGUUAUUUUGGGGAGUCCCAGGUUUCAGCCCGCACGGUCGCUCCCGUCCCGCCUCCUACGGUUCUGACCAGGCACCGAAGGGGAAGGCUAGCCGUCGGGCAGCUCCGGUGGGACCGGGCUGCCCGGGAAAAACGUGCUAGCACCGGGCCCGACUCUUGGACUUCCACACCACGGCGGCCAGAUGACGCCAACCGGCCGCGCUGCGCUUUGAGGUGUUUCCCCGCUCACAGGCCAGGUGAGAUCCCUUGUCAGGGAGUCCGAUAAGACCAUCGUGUGCCAUCCGGUGCUGCCCACCUAACCCGCUGCUACUUUCAUUCCUCCUUCUCGCCGUCGUGAUCGCUUUCCAGCAACGGCCAUAGGCGGAUGACGGAUUGAACCGAAGAAAAUUCCUGACGGGCUUAAGUCUACAAUAAAGAAACUUGAGGUUGUUUAAUGAACUGGAAUCCAA